ACUGGGAUUAGAUACCCCACUAUGCUCAGCCAUAAACCCAGACGUCCAACUACAAUUAGACGUCCGCCCGGGUACUACGAGCAUUAGCUUGAAACCCGAAGGACCUGACGGUGCCUCAGACCCCCCUAGAGGAGCCUGUUCUAGAACCGAUAACCCCCGUUAAACCUCACCGCUUCUAGCCAUCCCAGCCUAUAUACCGCCGUCGUCAGCUUACCCUGUGAAGGCAAUAAAAGUAAGCAAAAUGGGCACAGCCCAGAACGUCAGGUCGAGGUGUAGCGUACGAAGCGGGAAGAAAUGGGCUACAUUUUCUAUUAUAGAAUACUACGGACAUGUAACAUGAAAUAGUACUUGAAGGAGGAUUUAGUAGUAAAAAGGAAGCAGCGUGUCCUUUUGAACCCGGCUCUGAGGCGCGUACACACCGCCCGUCACCCUCU
rnacentral:rRNA from 1 species